CCUACGGGAGGCAGCAGUGGGGAAUCUUGCACAAUGGGCGAAAGCCUGAUGCAGCAACGCCGCGUGCGGGAAGAAGGCCCUAGGGUUGUAAACCGCUUUCAGUAGGGAAGAAAAUGACGGUACCUACAGAAGAAGGUGCGGCCAACUACGUGCCGGCAGCCGCGGUGACACGUAGGCACCAAGCGUUAUCCGGAUUUAUUGGGCGUAAAGAGCUCGUAGGCGGUUCGGUAAGUCGGGUGUGAAAACUCUGGGCUCAACCCAGAGAGGCCACCCGAUACUGCUGUGACUAGAGUGCGGUAGGGGAGCGGGGAAUUCCUGGUGUAGCGGUGAAAUGCACAGAUAUCAGGAGGAACACCAGCGGCGAAGGCGCCGCUCUGGGCCGUAACUGACGCUGAGGAGCGAAAGCAUGGGUAGCAAACAGGAUUAGAUACCCUGGUAGUCCAUGCCGUAAACGUUGGGCACUAGGUGUGGGUCUCAACCAACGAGANCGCGCCGUCGCUACGCAUAGUCGCCCGCCGUCGGGAGGUACGGUCGCGAGAACGUAAACGUACGAAAGGAAGUAGUAACGGUCGUGAGACGUGCCGAACGGACGACGACGAGGGAGGAGG
rnacentral:rRNA from 1 species